rnacentral:lncRNA from 1 species
CCUUCUGAGUCCAGCCUUGGCUGAAUCCUACAAAUAUUGCUAUGUGUUGGAGCCAUUAUCAUUAUUUUACAUGUAGCCUAUGGUUUGUUUGAUUACCUUCCUUAGCUAACACUUAAUUAUUGGGGUGUUUUGAGGACUUUUUUUUAAAAUCUUUUAGCUAUUGAUUUUGCUUUUUAUUAUUUCGUGGACAGAAAAAUAGCUGGUAAAGUUCUGGUUUUGAUAUUUAUUAUUUCUGGUUGACUAGUACUUGUUUAAUUUUUUGUAAAUGUGUCAGGGACAGUUAAAAAGGCUGUGUUUCAUUUAUUGUUUUGAAAAACCUAGACUACUGUGGGCAAAUCACCAAUUGCCUUUUCUAUUUUUAAUGAUUUAUUUGCUUUUUGGCAAUUUUUAAUUGAUUAUUUUUUAUUUAUUUAUUUAUUUAUUUAGGUCUUUUUGCCAUUUCUAGGGCCACUCCUGCGGCAUAUGGAGUUUCCUAGGCUAGGGGUCUAAUUGGAGCUGUAGCUGCCAGCCUACAACGUGGGAUCUGAGCCGCGUCUGCGACCUACACCACAGCUCACGGCAACGCCGGAUCGUUAACCCAUUGAGCAAGGCCAGGGAUCGAACCGCAACCUCAUGGUUCCUAGUUGGAUUCGUUAACCACUGCGCCACGAUGGGAACUCCAGUUUUAACACAGCGGGAGCCGCACGUUACAUACAGCUUCAUGUCCACAUGUUGAGUUUUAGUCUUGCAUCUUCGUCUUUACGUCGGGAUUCACACCUGUCCAGAGAGGACAUGUGAUUGGCCCCCUUCUCUGAGUCCCCCCUUUGACGGGUUUCUUUAUGUCAGGGUGGGCUCUUUUGGAACCCAGGGCCACGCUGAGCCCCUUAGAACUUUGAAUACAGUGAAGUUAGGAAAGAGCUGGAAAGGUGAGGUUGGGGGGGGGUGGGGGGAGUACCAUUCAAGGUCAGAGACCAAGCAUCCUGUUGGGAGUGGGGUUGUUGGUGGUUGUGGUGUUGGGUCUGAUGGUAGGUGGGGGUGCUGAUAAUAACGCGUGGGUCUGCUUUGCUGCUGUUAUCGCCUCUCUCUUCGCAAGGAUCCAUCACGGCACACCUUGUUAGCCUCGUUCUCCGUUUGUGCAAACCCAGCUCCAAGGAGUAAGGGGACUGGCUCAGGAUUACCCACCUGCAUUUUAAACAGCAGACCCAGGAUAGAAAGCUGUGCCUCUGGCCCCCAAAUCCGCACUCUUUCCUUUGCGUUCCGCUGUCUGGUGGGGCCUGGUCCUACAGGUGAACUUGUGUGCUCUGUCUGCUGUGUGCUGAACCCUGGACUGGGGGCUGGGGUCACAGGGCUGACGGCGCCCUGCUUUCUAAGGGUGCCCGGUCUAGUGGGGAAGAUAAACAAACAUAGAAGGUUUGGAUUCAGGAAUCGUGCCUGAGAAUUCAGGAAAGGCUUCUUGGUGUGGAUGUCUGAUUGGAGUCUUCACCUGUGACUAAUGGCCCGCCGGGCAGGCAGCGGGGGGAAGGGGUUCCCGCAUCCAGAGGGAAGAGCAGAAGCCGGAAAGACAGGUGUGUGGCCAUGUGUGCUUCUCUGGCCUCAGAAGCUGGGGGAGGGGAACAAAUGCCAGAGGGGGCUCUGGGGGCAACCUGUUCCCAAAGGCUACACCUCCCCCCCCCGCCCCCCGCCACACAGUUGCCUCUUUUGACAGUACCAAUAACUGUGAUGGCCUGGGUUUACCAAGCGCCGCCCGACUCCCAGGCCCUGUGCCCACCACUCUGCACUCACUCUCUCCCUCAAUCCUUUCCCAGCCCCCAUGAAGCCUAGGCAUCUUAAUAACGAGGAACCCCAGGCUUGGAGACGGUGAGCACAUACCCCGGUCCCCCAGCUCACAAGUUGCCAGGCCAGGAGUUGAACCCCAGCAUCUCUGACACUGUCUGUGUUUUCUUGCCCUGCGGCCCGGGCUGGGCAUGAACACAACGUGCAGUGGACGUUUUCCCAGCAUCCUUGAAGUAUGUGGGCCUUUCGUCCACUUUUGCUUUCUUCUUUUGAUGCUUUUGAGUACAGAGAGGUAUUUUCAGCCAUAAGAAUAUCGACAGCGCGCCUAAGAUAAGUGGCACCUGCCCCCCGGCUUUGGGGACGCACUGGGCAGUAGUGGGGCGUCGACUCAGGAGGGCUAACCGUUCUUCUCGUCCAGCCAACCUCGGAAUGUAGACCUGGGGCUGCCAGUUCUUUUCUCUUACUCUUUUGUUUUUUUUUUCCGUUUGUUUUUGAAGAGAAGGAGGGUAUCUGGAUUUUUAAGUGAAGUCUUCCAGUUUCUAAAAGUCAGCUCCGUUUUUAAAUGACCCCGAGCCACCACUAAUAGGCUGGUGGGAAAAGAGGCUCCCAGUAAGUGGUCUCUGUGCUGUGCCAUGUGCCAGAGACCCUCCUGUCACCUGGCUGGUCUCCGUCUCCCUCCUGGGGAGGGGCCCUGAGGACCUCAUACUCUAGUUGUCCCCUGACCCCAUGGGGGCCGGGUGAAGAUCCUGCAUGGGCCGUCUGAGCCAGGAAUUGUCCUCAGUCUGUCUAGGGCCCUGGACUUCCCGUGCCCUCCAUUCUGGGGGUUGCUUUUCCUGUUUUCACCAACUGAUGCAGAACGGUCAGAAGAUUCCAGGACUCUUGAGAG